rnacentral:rRNA from 1 species
GACCGGCGCACGGGUGAGUAACACGUAUCCAACCUUCCGUUUACUCAGGGAUAGCCUUUCGAAAGAAAGAUUAAUACCUGAUAGUAUGGUGAGAUUGCAUGAUAGCACCAUUAAAGAUUUAUUGGUAAACGAUGGGGAUGCGUUCCAUUAGCUUGUUGGCGGGUAACGGCCACCAAGGCGACGAUCAGUAGGGGUUCUGAGAGGAAGGUCCCCCACAUUGGAACUGAGACACGGUCCAAACUCCUACGGGAGGCAGCAGUGAGGAAUAUUGGUCAAUGGACGAGAGUCUGAACCAGCCAAGUAGCGUGAAGGAUGACUGCCCUAUGGGUUGUAAACUUCUUUUAUACCGGGAAUAAAGUGAGGCAUGUGUGCCUUUUUGUAUGUACCGUAUGAAUAAGGAUCGGCUAACUCCGUG